rnacentral:rRNA from 1 species
AGUGAACGCUGGCGGUAGGCCUAACACAUGCAAGUCGAACGGCAGCACAGUAAGAGCUUGCUCUUACGGGUGGCGAGUGGCGGACGGGUGAGGAAUACAUCGGAAUCUACUUUUUCGUGGGGGAUAACGUAGGGAAACUUACGCUAAUACCGCAUACGACCUACGGGUGAAAGCAGGGGAUCUUCGGACCUUGCGCGAUUGAAUGAGCCGAUGUCGGAUUAGCUAGUUGGCGGGGUAAAGGCCCACCAAGGCGACGAUCCGUAGCUGGUCUGAGAGGAUGACCCCCCACAGUGGAACUGAGCCACGGCCCAGCCCCCUCCGGGGGCCACCGUGGGGGAUUUUUGGAGAAGGGCGGCAGGCCGUACCCCGCCAUCCCGGGGGGGGGAAGAAGGCUUUGGGGUUGUAAACCCUUUUUGUGGGGAAAAAAAAACAGCAGUUUAAUCCCCCGCUUUUCGGACGCUCCCCAAAGAAUAACCCCCGCCUAUCUUCGUG